rnacentral:rRNA from 1 species
GAUGAACGCUAGCUGGAGGCUUAAUACAUGCAAGUCGAGCGGGAUUGGGUAGCAAUACCCAUGAGAGCGGCGCACGGGUGAGUAACGCGUACACGACCUACCUCUAACAGGGGGAUAGCCCUGGGAAACUGGGAUUAAUACCGCAUAUUAUUCCGAAUAAUAAAGGUUUGGAAUGAAAGCUGAGGCGGUUGGAGAUGGGUGUGCGUCUGAUUAGCUAGUUGAUAGGGUAACGGCCUACCAAGGCGAUGAUCAGUAGGGGGCGUGAGAGCGUGGUCCCCCACACGGGGAAUGAGACACGGACCCGACUCCUACGGGAGGCAGCAGUAAGGAAUAUUGGUCAAUGGGCGAAAGCCUGAACCAGCCAUCCAGCGUGCAGGAAGAAGGCCCUAUGGGUUGUAAACUGCUUUUAUCAGGGAAGAAACCUCUGGAUUUACUCCGGAGCUGACGGUACCUGAAGAAUAAGCACCGGCUAACUCCGUGCCAGCCGCCGCAGUAAUAC